AGAAAAGCUUUGUUAGUGUUUUGGAGUCACAUAUGACUAGAUGUCAUGUGGAUGAUUGAGUAUAAGAACUAGAACUGCAACUGGUUCCCAAAAGCUAAAGUAAUGUUUCCUAGUUAGAAGAUACAAAGCCAAAGACUCAUACGGACUUUGGCUACACCAUCAAAGUUUUGAGAAGCAAUAAGUAGCUUGGUUAGUAUUUUGGUGUCAAAUAAGACAAGAUGUUAUGUGUAUGAUUAAGUAUAAGAACUUUAACCACAACUGAUUCCCAAAAGCUAAAGUAAUGUUUCCUUGUUAGAAGAUACAAAGCUAAAAACUCAUACGGACUUCGGCUAAGCCAUCAAAAUUUUGAGAAGCAAUAAGAAGCUUGGUUUGUGUUUUGGAGUCAAAUAUGACUAGAUGUCAUGUGUAUGAUUGAGUAUAAGAACUAGAACCGCAACCGUUUCCCAAAAGCUAAAGUAGUGUUUCCUUGUUAGAAGCUACAAAGCCAAAGACUCAUACGGACUUCGGCUACACCAUCAAAGUUUUGAGAAGCAAUAAGAAGCUUGGUUAGUAUUUUGGAGUCAAAUAAGACAAGAUGUUAUGUGUUUGAUUGAGUAUAAGAACUAGAACCGCAACAUCUUCCCAAAAGCUAAAGUUGUGUUUCCCUUCUAGAAGAUACAAAGCCAAAAACUCAUACGGACUUUGGCUACACCAUCAAAGCUUUAAGAAGCAACAAGAAGUUUGGUUAGUGUUUUGAAGUCAAAAAAGAAUAUAUGUCAUGUGUAGUAUUGAGUAUAAAAACUAGAACCACAACUGGAUCCCAAAAGCAAAAGUAGUGUUUCCUUGUUAGAAGAUACAAAGCCAAAGACUCAUACGGACUUCGGCUACACCAUGAAAAUUUUGAGAAGCAAUAAGAAGCUUGGUUAGUGUUUUGGAGUCAAAUAUGACUAGAUGUCAUGUGUAUGAUUGAGUAUAAGAACUAGAAUGGCAACCGAUUCCCAAUAGCUAAAGUUAUGUUUCCUUGUUAGAAGAUACAAAGCCAAAGACUCAUACGGACUUCGGCUACACCAUGAAAAUUUUGAGAAGCAAUAAGAAGCUUGGUUAGUUUUUUGGAGUCAAAUAUGACUAGAUGUCAUGUGUAUGAUUGAGUAUAAGAACUAGAAUGGCAACCGAUUCCCAAUAGCUAAAGUUAUGUUUCCUUGUUAGAAGAUACAAAGCCAAAGACUCAUACGGACUUCGUGUACACCAUCAAAAUUUUGAGAAGCAAUAAGAAGCUUGGCUAGUAUUUUAGAGUCAAAUAUUACAGGAUAUCAUGUGUAUCAUUGAGUAUAAGAACUAGGACCGCAACCGAUUCCCAAAAGCUAAAGUAAUGUUUCUUGUUUGUAGAUACAAAGCCAAAGACUCAUACCGACUUCGGCUACACCAUCAAAGCUUUGUGAGGCAAUAAGAAGCUUGGUUAGUUUUUCGGAAUCAAAUAUGGCUAGAUGUCAUGUGUAUGAUUGAGUAUAAGAACAAGAACCGCAACUAAUUCCCAAAAGCUAAAUUAAUGUUUCCUUGUUAGAAGAUACAAAGCUAAAAACUCAUACGGACUUCGGCUAAGCCAUUCAUGUUUUGAGAAGCAAUAAGAAGGUUGGUUAUU
rnacentral:sRNA from 1 species